rnacentral:rRNA from 1 species
CACGCUAACACAUGCAAGUCGAACGAAGUAGCAAUACUUAGUGGCAGACGGGUGAGUAACAUGUAGGUAUCUGCCCUUUGGCCUGGAAUAACACGAGGAAACUUGUGCUAAUACCGGGAUAAGUCUUUACGGAGAAAGCUUUAUGCACCAUUGGAUGAGCCUGCACUUGAUUAGUUUGUUGGUGGGGUAAUGGCCUACCAAGACUGUGAUCAAUAGCUGAUUUGAGAGGAUGAUCAGCCACAUUGGGACUGAGACACGGCCCAAACUCCUACGGGAGGCAGCAGUGGGGAAUCUUGCACAAUGGAGGAAACUCUGAUGCAGCGAUGCCGCGUGAGUGAAGAAGGCCUUUGGGUUGUAAAGCUCUUUCGUCGGGGAAGAAAAUGACUGUACCCGAAUAAGAAGGUCCGGCUAACUUCGUGCCAGCAGCCGCGGUAAUACGAAGGGACCUAGCGUAGUUCGGAAUUACUGGGCUUAAAGAGUUCGUAGGUGGUUGAAAAAGUUAGUGGUGAAAUCCCAGAGCUUAACUCUGGAACUGCCAUUAAAACUUUUCAGCUAGAGUAUGAUAGAGGAAAGCAGAAUUUCUAGUGUAGAGGUGAAAUUCGUAGAUAUUAGAAAGAAUACCAAUUGCGAAGGCAGCUUUCUGGAUCAUUACUGACACUGAGGAACGAAAGCAUGGGUAGCGAAGAGGAUUAGAUACCCUCGUAGUCCAUGCCGUAAACGAUGUGUGUUAGACGUUGGAAAUUUAUUUUCAGUGUCGCAGCGAAAGCGAUAAACACACCGCCUGGGGAGUACGACCGCAAGGUUAAAACUCAAAUGAAUUGACGGGGACCCGCACAAGUAGUGGAGCAUGUGGUUUAAUUCG